AGCGGGGGCUGGUUGCUUCUCAUCUGGGCUGUGGCCUGGGCUGGGUCAUCAGGACGACUGGGCUGCUACUGGCGUUUAGUGGACAGCGUUGGCACAGCCUUCCCCCACCCAGAAACGUCCCCCCCCAAAUGCCCACAGAGGCCCUGUGGAGGGACGCCUGGCGCAUGGGCUUUCAUCAGACAGAGGCGGUGCGUGGGAACCCGGCAGAUACGACAGAGGCAAAGGGGCAAGUGUGGCUCCGGCUGGCGCGGGCCCAGAGCCCUGCCCACCGUGGACCCUGCCCAGUGUGAACUCCCUCCGGGGCCUGACGUCCAGGGCCUCUACAGCUCGGCUGUUCUUGGUGUUCUGAUGGACCCAGAACAGGGCCCUGAUGGAUGAUGGUGUCAGCAGACAGUUAAGUGUCAGGCCUGUGCUGAGUGUGCUGUGGUCUCAUUUCAACCUCCAUUCAAUGUCCUAAGCAGAGAACUGGCUUGAAUCACCUUGUCUACAGUGACCAGGAGUUUACAGGAAGAAUGAGCAUCUGUGACCUUAAACCUCCAGAAAUAGCAACCCUGGCCUCCUCUGCUGAAGAAGGCUUCGCUGCCUCCUGGGCUUAUUUUCGUCACAAAGGGCCCCAUGCUGGCCAAGGACACCUCUGACUUAAGUUACUCUCUUGGCCCCAAAUCAUCUCUUGCCACAAGCAGAAGUAGCAACAGUCAAGGAAUAGGAGGAGGUUUGGUCUCAGUGCUGGGCUAGCCACAUGUUCAUUCCUUGCCCUGGAUGAGAACGUUAAUUAAUUUUUUUGACCCCUUUUUUUUUUGGUACCAGGGAUUGAACCCAGGGUGCUUAGCCACUGAGGCACACCCCACCUCUUUUUUAUUUUAUAUUUUGAGACAGGAUCUUGCUAAGUUGCAGAGGACAUCACUAAGUGGCUGAGUCUGGCCUCAAACAUGUGAUCCUCCAGGUUCAGCCUCCCAAAUUGCUGGGAUUACAGGUCUGAGCAAACACACCUGGUGACCUUUGUGUUUUUGAAUAGUUUAUCUGCAACAUGGGAUGGAGAAUCAAAUCUCCUCAGGUUAUCUCCUAAGAUGAUGCCUGUGAAAAUCCCCUUCACACAGCAUGACACAUUUAGAUGCUCAUAUAUGUUUGAUGGAUUCUAAUCCUAAUCAAUCACAGGACUUUAUCAGUUUAGUUGCAAAUGCUAGAAAAAUCCCCCAAGUAGCAAUAGCUGUGAACAGAGAGUUUAUUUCUCUCUCUCAUAUAGUGGACAUCUGAAGGCAGGAGGCCCAUGGCUGGGAGGUGACUCCUCUUUGUCAGGCUCUCCAGCACCUACUACCUUGCUGCUCCUUCACCCUUGGAGUAUUGCCUUAUGGUCCAAGAUGCUGCCCAGGCUGCUCCUACCUGCAUGUCAGGUAAGGGGAAGAGGAAGUACGGGAAAGCCUGCAGCCCUCCCUUCAAGGAGAUUUCUUGGCAGUCCUGAGUGACACACCUGCUUGAUUUCAUGGAUCAGACCUUGCAUACAGCUCACGUGGACCUGCCAGGGAGGAGGGGCAAUGGAAACCGAGCUGGAUGGCACUGAGCUAGUUACUGGAUUCUUUGAAGAAAGAAAAGGGAAAGAUAAAUUGGUAGGCAUAUUCUGACCCAGUGACCUUGACCAAAUCACUUUUCCUCAUUGGACUUUAGCUCCUCAUCUACAGGAAUUGAUGUGUGUGUGUGUGUGUGUGGGGGGCACUGUUGGCAUCUUGGGUGACACAAGUCUUCACUGUGUACAACUAUUAAAGGCCAGUAGCAUCCUUAGGCAUGGUGACAGUUCCCAGGCUAAUAAUCCCACUCUUUCAGGGGGACAAUACUACCUGCUGUUGGGAAUCUGUGGACAAGAUGUUCUAAAGUCUAA